AAUCCUGUUUUUUUUCUCCUGAUUUACCAUAGACUGCAAGGAGCAUCCCCUUCCUCUUGCAUGCCCUGAGCAAGUAUUUUCACUGUUGCAGUCCCUAGAUUCUUCAAACUGCAGCCGGGCUCCCUUAGUGCAUGUCCAGAACUACACACCUCCUUAAAGAGAAGAAAAUUGAGCUUCCAAGAACUUGAUGUGCAAACUUCACUUUUGCAUCCUACAAAAUUGAAGAUGCUUAAUGGAACUGCAAGAGAAAGAGUUUAUUCUCUACUGGUGAGGUCUUGCUUGGGAGCACGAUAUCCAGUUUUGAGCGCUGCACUUCAAGAAAGACAUGGCCAAAUAAGAAAAAGUCCAGCACAGAGCAACAACAGUUAUUAGAGGCCAGGUAAAUGUGAUUUAUGAAGAAAGUCUGAAAGAACCAGGAUUAUAAUCUGGAGAAGAGAAGACUGAGGAGGAAUUUAAUAACAGUUUUCAGAUAUCUUCAAAGUGAUUAUAAAGAGGAUGGUGAUAAACUAUUUUCUAUACCACAGGGGAUAGUGCGAGGAGUAGUGGUCUUAAAUUGCACCAAGGGCAAUUUAGGUUGGAUAUUAGGAAGAAGUUUCUUACUUUGAGGGAGGUUAAACAUUGAACCAAUUACCUACAAAAGUUGUGGACUCCCCAUCCUUAGAAGUUUUUAAGAUUAGAUUAGAUAGAAACUUGAUGGGGAUGGUUUAGUCAGGGCAGUGCUGCCCUCAACAGGAGUUGGAGUAGAUGACCUUCUGAGAUCCCUUCCAGGCCUACUUUUCUAUGAUCUUAACAUCAGUAAAUAUCUUUAAUUCCAAAUAUAUGUUUAUGAACACAAGUAUCAGAACAUUUGAAGAUUUCUGCAAUUUGGCUAGGAAAAUGUACUCCUCUGUCCUAUUCAUGCAUACCAGCUCCAUUGUAGGAGUUGAACAUCAGUGAUUUCCCCCAAAAGAAAUAACUUUCAGAAUAAAAAAGAAUCUUUCUUUGAAGCUCAUAAUAUAGUUAUUGAUUUGGUAGAAUGUGCUGUAAAGGAUUGAGGAGUAGUUAUACUUUAAGCUUCAUCAGCCUCUGUGAUGCAUGCUUUAAACAAACUAGCUACUGACAUUUUACAGACUUUUACUCUUUUGACUACUAGGUGGGAGAGAACAAGAGGUACUUUUUUCAGGAGGACAGUUUCUUCUUUUGAUUUCAGUUUUGAUUGCUCUUCAAACAUGAAGCUUCAGUACCUUCCUUUAGAUGUUUAGGCUGCAAAUGGAAAGCUAUGAAGAUAAAAUCCCAUGAAAGAAAGCUGUCUGAUUAGGAAUAAAGAGGGUUUACUUUAACACUACUUUGUCAUUUUGAACAGUAAAAUGCUCAUACCCUGCCUUAGAAAUUCUCCUUGUGGAAAUAACUGGCAAAAUGACCCGUUUACAUCGGCAACUAAUGAUUAAAGAUAGCCUUGUGCUUGGAGUAUGGACUAGGAUUUAGGAAAGGACUUUCUUUUUGUAUUAGCAAUGAGAAUACUGGAUUGGGACCAGCAUCAUAUUCUGUCUGGGUGUGUCUACACAUGCAAUUAAUGUGACUGAAUAUGCUCCAACUCAAACUGAGCUGGAAUAAACCAAUCCCGACUUCACUGUCUACAUGUGCAUUUAAGUGCAGUAAUUUACUGCACUGCCGGAUACCACUUGUAUCUGAUGGAACUAUCUGGCAAUGCAGUAAAUUAAUCUACUGCACCCUAAUUGCCACAUUCGUGUAGAUGGUGAUUCUUUACCGUGCAGCAAAUUAGGCUGCUGUGCAAUAAAGCAUCUCAUAUAGAUGUGCCCAGACCAUGUCUUAGUUCCUUUAUUUGUAAAAUGGAGAUUAUACAUUAACCUCUUGGGAGUGUUAUGGCAGUUAAUGUGUUAGAAAAUAGAACUGAGACACUUGAAUGAAGUGUCUUAUGAAAAUUCAUAAUACUACAUUGUCCAGUUAUGGGUAUAACAUCCCUGAGUGGAUUUUGAAAUAUUGCCCUUUAUAUUUUCUUUUGUUUUUAAUUCAAAACAGAAUGGUCAUUUUAAACAUGGGGUUAGUUAAGUACCUUUUGUAGUCUACAUAAUUCAUUUCUAGAGUAGUUAAAUUGAAUAUUUAUAAUUGCCUUCUGGAAUUCUUAAUAAUGAGGCAGAAACCCAGCCUUAAUAAAGGUCAGAAGGGCCCAAACCCAGAGUUUCUCUGCAUGCCAGCUGCUCUCAACAAGUUUCUUGUCAUUGGUACUUUAGUGUUUGCACUCUUUAUACCUCUAGGGUGCCCAAACUAAGUUUAUUUGUUACUCAGAUCUGUGCACUUGAACUGCCAACCGGUAUGCUGAUUGUAAUGGUGCUUUCUGUGAGGAGGAUACUCCUUUGGAGUUUCUUAAGUGUACAAAGUAGAGAACUAGUAUUUAUCAGGUACCAAAGCUGCAUCUUGGAGCCAGUUCAUCCCUGUCCAAAGGCCUGAAAACUGAGUUGUCCAAAUCAUGUUUUCAAUGGAGCUUGCUCUGAAAGGGGCCCAAACCUACAAAUCUCCUUAUAUCCAUAUGCAUUUCAGCUGUUAGAGACAGUGCCACAUACACAGAAGCCUUGGGCCUCUUCAGCUUUUCCAGGACACUAACUACUUAACCCUUCUGCUAUUAAAUACAUCGGACUUAUUCUCCUGAUACUUUUCUCAGUAUAAAUAGAAAUAAACUCCUUUGCACAUUUAAGACACUGUCUCCAAUAUUAACAGUGUAAAACUAGCAUAAGUAAUAAGGGAAUUGGACUCAGUCCUUUUUUUAAAUUACUCAUUUACCUGUAGAGCAAGUAGGUUUUCAUCUUGAGCAUCAAGUGUUUACCACUUAUGAAAGCAGAAUAUUGGGCUGGCUGGAUAGCUUUGAGGUCCUGUAUGAUAAAUGCUAUGUUCUACCACUAAAACUGAUGAUUGCUGGGAAGCCCAACACAUAGAUUUAAGACAAAAGAUAAUAGAAGCAAUAUAGUAACUGUUUUGUUAUCCCAUAUAAGAUAUUGGAGUAGAGUUCCUUGUUUAUUAUGUACAUUUUAUUACAUCCAUAUUUACCUAACAUAUUGUCAGCACUGAACAAAUAAUAUCAGAAAUAAUACA